rnacentral:rRNA from 1 species
GAUGAACGCUGGCGGCGUGCUUAACACAUGCAAGUCGAACGAAGCACUUUAUUUGAUUUCCUUCGGGACUGAUUAUUUUGUGACUGAGUGGCGGACGGGUGAGUAACGCGUGGGUAACCUGCCUUGUACAGGGGGAUAACAGUUGGAAACGGCUGCUAAUACCGCAUAAGCGCACAGCAUCGCAUGAGGCAGUGUGGAAAACUCCGGUGGUAUAAGAUGGACCCGCGUUGGAUUAGCUAGUGGGUGAGGUAACGGCCCACCAAGGCGACGAUCCAUAGCCGACCUGAGAGGGUGACCGGCCACAUUGGGACUGAGACACGGCCCAAACUCCUACGGGAGGCAGCAGUGGGGAAUAUUGCACAAUGGGCGAAAGCCUGAUGCAGCGACGCCGCGUGAGCGAAGAAGUAUUUCGGUAUGUAAAGCUCUAUCAGCAGGGAAGAUAAUGACGGUACCUGACUAAGAAGCACCGGCUAAAUACGUG